rnacentral:piRNA from 1 species
UGCUUGUGCUGAAGCUGCCAUGUGGUC